rnacentral:rRNA from 1 species
ACUCAAAUGAAUAGACGGGGGCCCGCACAAGCGGUGGAGCAUGUGGUUUAAUUCGACGCAACGCGAAGAACCUUACCUGGGCUCGAAAUGCUGCAGAUCAGCCUGUGAAAGCAGGUCUUCCCGCAAGGGACUGUAGUAUAGGUGCUGCAUGGCUGUCGUCAGCUCGUGUCGUGAGAUGUUGGGUUAAGUCCCGCAACGAGCGCAACCCUUGUCCUGUGUUGCCAUACUUAAUAAGUGGAACUCGCAGGAGACCGCCAGGGAUAACCUGGAGGAAGGUGGGGAUGACGUCAAGUCCUCAUGGCCUUUAUGUCCAGGGCUACACACGUGCUACAAUGGACGGUACAAAGGGCUGCCAACCCGCGAGGGGGAGCCAAUCCCAAAAAACCGUUCUCAGUUCGGAUUGCAGGCUGCAACUCGCCUGCAUGAAGCUGGAAUCGCUAGUAAUGGCAGAUCAGAACGCUGCCGUGAAUACGUUCCCGGGCCUUGCACACACCGCCCGU